rnacentral:rRNA from 1 species
UACAGAGGGGGCGAGCGUUGUUCGGAAUCACUGGGCGUAAAGCGCGUGUAGGCGGCCCACUAAGUCUGAUGUGAAAGCCCGGGGCUCACCCCCGGAAGUGCAUUGGAAACUGGUGGACUCGAGUCCCGGAGAGGAGAGUGGAAUUCCUGGUGUAGCGGUGAAAUGCGUAGAUAUCAGGAGGAACACCGGUGGCGAAGGCGGCUCUCUGGACGGUGACUGACGCUGAGACGCGAAAGCGUGGGGAGCAAACAGG